rnacentral:rRNA from 1 species
GCGGAGGAAAAGAAACCAACAGGGAUUGCCCCAGUAACGGCGAGUGAAGCGGCAAUAGCUCAAAUUUGAAAUCUGGCUCUUUCAGGGUCCGAGUUGUAAUUUGCAGAGGGCGCUUUGGCGUCGGCAGCAGCCUAAGUUCCUUGGAACAGGUCAUCAUAGAGGGUGAGAAUCCCGUAUGUGGCUGCUUGUCUUCGCCGUGUAAAGCCCCCUUCGAUGAGUCGAGUUGUUUGGGAAUGCAGCUCUAAAUGGGAGGUAAAUUUCUUCUAAAGCUAAAUAUUGGCCAGAGACCGAUAGCGCACAAGUAGAGUGAUCGAAAGAUGAAAAGCACUUUGGAAAGAGAGUCAAAAAGCACGUGAAAUUGUUGAAAGGGAAGCGCUUGCAGCCAGACGUGCCCGUAGUUGCUCAUCGGGGGUUCUCCCCCGUGUACUCUUCUAUGGGCAGGCCAGCAUCAGUCCGGGCGGUUGGAGAAAGACCUGUGUCAUGUAGCUGUUUUCGGGUCAGUGUUAUAGGGCAGGUGGAAUGCAACCAGCCUGGACUGAGGUCCGCGCAUCUGCUA